rnacentral:lncRNA from 1 species
UACUUACCAGGGUACAUAGCAUAUACAAUCAUUGCAAGUAGAUCUCGAUCAUAAUUGAUCGAUCCGAUCUUUAACUAUUCAGCAAAAAGCUUAUCUAUCUUCUUAAACAGAAAUUUGAUUUCUAAGAGAACUCAAAUUCCUCCUUCAAAAUAAUUUAUAAAAAUAAUUUACUAUAUAUAAGAAAAUAAUAUAUUAGAAAAUAAAAUUAGUUUGAGUAAUACCUGGAGUUGCAUCCCCGGCUGCCACGAUAUCUUGAACGGUCAUGUUGAAGACGCUUGCAGUUGAUUCUAUUGAUUUAUUUGUUGAUGUCGGUCCCGAUGUCGCCAAUGCCCUGCUGCCUUUUCGCAUUUUCGCAUUCCUUGUCUCCAUUUCCUUUCUUGGACGGUCUUUCACCUUAUGCUCCAUUGAUUCGCACAUAACACAUUUAUUAUACCUUCUUGGAUUGGGACUUUUAGGAAAGAUAUAUAUCCCUCCUGUCCUUACUUUCUAUACACAACUUUUCCUUUUUAAUCACAUUCCCGGCUUAUCUCCGGUAUUAUUAAGAUUAUUUUCUUUUAUCUUAUAGGCGGCAAAAAUGGUCUUUUGCC